AACUUCCCUGUUGUAACACUUAAGGGAACCUUUUGGAUGAGAUUUAGCUGAAGAAGAUGAGCGUUGGUGCCAUAAUAAGGCUGCGUCUUGACCACCUGGUUGACCAGGUUUUUACCCUUGGAAACAGCCUCUCUACUUGGAGAGGUGAGGCUGCAUAUGCUGAGCUCUCUAGAUCUGGCAUUGCAGGAGUCCUGUGCAUUGCUUGCUCAUUUAUUUUUUAAGAAAACAUCUCAAACUAGUAUAUGAUUGCAAUUGAAUAAUGCAUUUGAAAUUUGGUGCUGGACAUAUUAAACAUUGUUCUGGUGGUGGUGUAUUGGACCCACUUACUAAAGGUUGAGGGUUCAAAUUCUCACCCAAUACAUUUUCCCCACUUAUCAAAGGUUGAGGGUUUGAAUCUUUGUCUGAGAUUUCUUUUGAAGGUGUCAGGCUAUCAGCUAGCUUAGCUGGUAAAGAUCCUGACAGUAUAUCGUAAGGUUCUGAGCUCAAAUCUCGCCUUAAGCACUUACCCUUUGCAACAAAUCAAUAUUACUAGUUCUUUUUAAUGUUUUCCAAUUCUUGCAUACUAAUAUGGAACUUUGUGAUGAUUAAGUCCAUAUUUCAAAUAUUUUUGUAGACCAUCUGGAUAAUUCUUGUUAUUUGCUCAAAGUUUAAGUACAGCAUUAUAAUUGAUACUGAUUCCAGAUUCUCCUAGAAUCAUGCUGAUUGAUUAUUCAAAUAGACAACUCCCAAGGCAUUGUAUAGUUACCAGUUGAUUAUUAGAAGACCAAACAAACUUCCCUGUUGUAACACUUAAGGGAACCUUUUGGAUGAGAUUUAGCUGAAGAAGAUGAGCAUUGGUGCCAUAAUAAGGUUGCGUCUUUACCACCUGGUUGACCAGGUUUUACCCUUGGAAACAGCCCUUCUACUUGGAGAGGUGAGGCUGCAUAUGCUGAGCUCUCUAGAUCUGGCAUUGCAGGAGUCCUGUGCAUUGCUUGCUCAUUUAUUUUUUAAGAAAACAUCUCAAACUAGUAUAUGAUUGCAAUUGAAUAAUGCAUUUGAAAUUUGGUGCUGGUACUGUCUCACACUUAUUAAUAUGUAUCAUGGAGUAUCUAUAUGACUGUAUCUGCUUGUCUCUUGGAAGUUUGAAGGUGUUGACAUAUAUUGUUCUGUUUUAAUAUCUCCUUUACUUGGGAAAACUUGCUUUGAAGCUCUAUCUUUUCUCUUUUU
rnacentral:lncRNA from 1 species